rnacentral:rRNA from 1 species
CGAAAGAUGGUGAACUAUGCCUGGCCAGGACGAAGCCAGAGGAAACUCUGGUGGAGGUCCGAAGCAGUUCUGACGUGCAAAUCGAUUGUCAGAGCUGGGUAUAGGGGCGAAAGACCAAUCGAACCAUCUAGUAGCUGGUUCCCUCCGAAGUUUCCCCCAGGAUAGCUGGUACUCACAUGGGGAGUUUCAUCCGGUAAAGCGAAUGAUUAGAGGUACUGGGGGCGAAACGCCCUCAACCUAUUCUCAAACUUUCAAUGGGUGAGUGACCAAGCUUGCUUGAUGCCGAGGUGCGAAUAGAGCUCGCCUCUUGAGUAGCCCUCGCGUUUUGAAGCUUCGGCCUUCCUAAAUCAAUGAGUUGCAAGUGGCAUGUUUU